CCAAUGCUGACUGCUGCCGGAUGCUUACAGCACCUGGCGCUUUAAGAGGCCAAGCAGCCAUCAGGAGCAGCCUGCAGAUGAGGAAACAAGGCUCACAGAAGUGAAGAACCUGGACAGAUGGGUGUAUGGAUGCGUGCCUGCUAGAGGUUGAUAGACCUCCUACGUAGAGCUUUAAACUAGCUUCAUCGGGGGACGGAAAUGUUGAAGACAGGGUGAAACUAGGAAAGACAAGACAUGAACUGUAUGCUGGAAUAGACCAGUAGGUGCAUCACGAGCAGGUCUAGGGAGGUUAUACUUCCCUUCUACGAGGCAUUGGUGAGGCUGCAGCUGGAGUACUGCGUCCAGUUUUGGGCACUGCACUUCAAGAGGGAUUCAAAAAACCUGGAAAGGGUUCAGAGGAGGGCUACUUGUAUGGUUGAGGGC